GCAUCAAGAGGAAUGUAACUGUUAGCAGAUAAAAAGCUAACAGGGGAGGCAUGACAUAAGGCAACAAUUUCAAAAUUGUCUGACACAAAUCCCAGAAGAGCUCAUUCGUGCCCUGACCAAAAGCCGUGUCAGAUGAAAUGGUUAGAAAAGGUCUGCCUUCAGUGGGCCCUGAAUCCAGGUUUGGAAGAGAACAGCCUUGCGUGAAGGACCUGGGCAUCUGCAAUACCUUGACAACAUGAGACACC